GAAAUGCGGAGUGUUUUAUAUUCCAUCAGCAAAUCAACUGUGUCGGCUGCAAUGCGCAAGCUGUGAAAAACCGCCCCUAGGACAUUACGACAUCAAAUGCAAGCGAUGUCAGCAGAUUUUCUGUGAUAACCUUUACAAAACCGUGAAGUGUCCUUAUUGCUCACCCACCCCGCGAGGAGGUCAUCGUCGGAAUGAAACUUCACAUAAACGUUAUAAUCCAUACCUCAAUCGACGGAGUGAACAGAACAACGUCAUCGAGCCUAUACCCCAUUCCUCACACACUGAGCUAAGGAGAGCACAUCUCACUCGCCAGGAGUCACAGCUCCUUCAUCAAGGUCAGCCACCCCG